rnacentral:rRNA from 1 species
AUGGCUCAGAUUGAACGCUGGCGGCAUGCCUUACACAUGCAAGUCGAACGGCAGCAUGAUCUAGCUUGCUAGAUUGAUGGCGAGUGGCGAACGGGUGAGUAAUACAUCGGAACGUGCCCUGUAGUGGGGGAUAACUAGUCGAAAGAUUAGCUAAUACCGCAUACGACCUGAGGGUGAAAGUGGGGGACCGCAAGGCCUCAUGCUAUAGGAGCGGCCGAUGUCUGAUUAGCUAGUUGGUGAGGUAAAGGCUCACCAAGGCGACGAUCAGUAGCUGGUCUGAGAGGACGAUCAGCCACACUGGGACUGAGACACGGCCCAGACUCCUACGGGAGGCAGCAGUGGGGAAUUUUGGACAAUGGGGGCAACCCUGAUCCAGCAAUGCCGCGUGUGUGAAGAAGGCCUUCGGGUUGUAAAGCACUUUUGUCCGGAAAGAAAUCGCACUUACUAAUAUUAGGUGUGGAUGACGGUACCGGAAGAAUAAGGACCGGCUAACUACGUGCCAGCAGCCGCGGUAAUACGUAGGGUCCAAGCGUUAAUCGGAAUUACUGGGCGUAAAGCGUGCGCAGGCGGUUGUGCAAGACCGAUGUGAAAUCCCCGGGCUUAACCUGGGAAUUGCAUUGGUGACUGCACGGCUAGAGUGUGUCAGAGGGGGGUAGAAUUCCACGUGUAGCAGUGAAAUGCGUAGAGAUGUGGAGGAAUANCGAUGGCGAAGNCAGCCCCCUGNGAUNACACUGACGCUCAUGCACGAAAGCGUUGGGAGCAAACAGGAUUAGAUACCCUGGUAGUCCACGCCCUAAACGAUGUCAACUAGUUGUUGGGGAUUCAUUUCCUUAGUAACGUAGCUAACGCGUGAAGUUGACCGCCUGGGGAGUACGGUCGCAAGAUUAAAACUCAAAGGAAUUGCCGGGGACCCGCACAAGCGGUGGAUGAUGUGGAUUAAUUCGAUGCAACGCGAAAAACCUUACCUACCCUUGACAUGCCACUAACGAAGCAGAGAUGCAUUAGGUGCUCGAAAGAGAAAGUGGACACAGGUGCUGCAUGGCUGUCGUCAGCUCGUGUCGUGAGAUGUUGGGUUAAGUCCCGCAACGAGCGCAACCCUUGUCUCUAGUUGCUACGAAAGGGCACUCUAGAGAGACUGCCGGUGACAAACCGGAGGAAGGUGGGGAUGACGUCAAGUCCUCAUGGCCCUUAUGGGUAGGGCUUCACACGUCAUACAAUGGUGCAUACAGAGGGUUGCCAAGCCGCGAGGUGGAGCUAAUCCCAGAAAAUGCAUCGUAGUCCGGAUCGUAGUCUGCAACUCGACUACGUGAAGCUGGAAUCGCUAGUAAUCGCGGAUCAGCAUGCCGCGGUGAAUACGUUCCCGGGUCUUGUACACACCGCCCGUCACACCAUGGGAGUGGGUUUUGCCAGAAGUAGUUAGCCUAACCGCAAGGGGGGCGAUU